GCAGCUCUACCAAAUAAUUAAAAGUACCAAAUUUACAGCAAAAACAAAAGAAAUAAAAGAAAGAAAGAUAUCCACAUUUGAAGCUACGAAUGCCGAAGCCAUCUAUACGAACAUUACGCCAUAGUUUCCUUCGCGAGCAGGGAAAUAAUGCAUAUUUAGAAAAUGCAAACGACGCAAACUGCAUACCAUUGAGAGCAGAAUUCUGCUUGCGGCAUGUUCUUUUAUUAUCUAUAUUCACAAGCGCCACCAACCAGUCUAUUUUUCGACGUUUACAACUUUUUUCAGACGAAAACCUAAAAAACAGACCAUCUUUACUCCAUAGUCAAAGGAAAUCUAUAGACCCACAACAAAAUGUUCAAAAAAGCUCUUACAGAUGGGUGGAAUGUCAAAUUUGCAGUCGUUUAUAUGUGAGUGCGCAAGGAACCCGGGCGAUAUGGAACGGAGGACAUUUGAGUUAUUUUAUUAACAUUUUGAGUUUCGAAGUCUAUACCAUUCCUUUGUCUAUGCCGACAUCUUAAAAUUUGUUCAAAAAAGCUUCAACAAAUGGAAGAUAUGUCAAAUUUUCAAUUGUUUAUAUUUUAGUAUGCAUGCUACACAUGCGACAAAAGGGAGAACUUGAGCUAUGUUUUUAAAUGUUAAGUUUCAUAGUCUAUACAUAGACAAAGGACAUCUAUAAACUCAUAACAAUGUGUUCAAAAAAGCUCUAACAUGAGGGAGAAAUGUCAAAUUCUCAGUCGUUUUUAUGUGAGUGCGCAAGGAACCCGGGCGACGUGAAACGGAGAACUUUUGAGUUAUUUUAUUUUUUACUUUGUAUUUUGCCGUACUAUAAUAAGCUUAAUUAUGUAUUUGGUUGAACUGAAUACAUUAAUGAACUUUCACUUUGGUUUUCAAUGUUCAUCGGAUGUUGUCCAAAUUUGUCGAAACUGAAAUGUAAGAUAAAAUAUAGGGAUACAAUUGAUUGCACAAGCUUGAA